UUUUUCAAAAACGGAAGGUCUAAAUUUAAAUUAUACUCACCAACACCAACCACUCAUGAACCAUGACUCAUCCUACAUCUACCAACGACAUUAUUUUCAGAUCCAUCCAUAACAAAUGAAUUGUGAAAAAUAGAUCUCAAAUGAUCCUAAAGAACAAACCACUUAUACAACACCAAAAUGAUAUUAGAUCAUGUAACCAUGGACUCUUCCACUCUGCUUGAUGGAUCUCAGCAUUAAUUGGUCUCAGGAUUAUUAUCUUGCUUCAAUUCGGGAGUCAACUUGAGUGGAUCAAAUUAGCAAAGCACCUGUUAUUCAUCACUUCUCCGAAAGCAUUUUGGGGGUCAUGACAGUCCGAGCAUUCAAAAAGCAUAAAAGAUUUACCUGAAGAGAACAUGUACAUAAAAGAGUGAAUGCUAAUUUAAGCAUGGAUUUCCACAACUAUAUUUCCAAUGAAUGGUUGCGCUUACGCUUUUAGAAUUUUUUGGAAGUUUGAUUUUCUGCAUUUUCGCCAUGUUCAUGAUCCUCUUACCAAGCAAGAUCAUAAAGCCAGGAUCAAAGUUGGAAACGGACCGAAUACUCAAACUGGUCCCGGAGUGACCUAAAAGCGUAAGUUUCUAUAAUUUGAUAUAUAUA